GCACUCAAAUGUGAUGAAAUUAUCACAUACCUACUCACUGGUCUAGGACCUGAGUAUGAUUCUCUUAUCACCACCAUUUCAAUUAAAGAAAAUGUCACCUUAGAAGAGGUGUACUCUAUGCUGCUCAUUUGUGAGG
rfam:Populus trichocarpa isolate Nisqually-1 chromosome 1, whole genome shotgun sequence.